rnacentral:rRNA from 1 species
CCCGGGCCUUGUACACACCGCCCGUCACACCAUGGGAGUCGUUUGCUCCAGAAGUGCCUAGGCCAACCCCUAAAAAGGAGGCAGGGCCCAAGGAGUGACCGGUAACUGGGGUG